AGUCCCGGGCAGCGCGGGGCGCGCAGGGAGCCGCAGCCCGGCGUCCGCCCGGUUGCUCUGGAGCCGGGUCGCGCGGCCGCCCGCCCGCUCUCCUCCUGCCAUGGGGAGCACCGAGAGCUGCGAGGCCCGCAGGGUGUCCUUCGGGAUGGACGAGGAGGAGCGGGUCCGGGUGCUGCAGGGCAUCCGGCUGUCUGAAAAUGUGGUUAACCGCAUGAAGGAUUCCAGCCAGCCUUGCAAAGCUGGGCAGUCAGCUCCCCCUCCUGCCCCUCCAUCUUCUACAUUUGGCAACUCUAAAGGCCCAGAGAAAGACUCCAGAGUGCCCAGGUCUGAGUAUAGUGGUGGCCAGAAGUCCUCAGGGGCGGAGGAGGAUUUCCUUAAGAGGUAUAAACAGGAGCAGGCCAGGGUCCAGGAUGAACUAUUCCAGGUGGUGACAAGGGAAAGAGAGGCAGCCACAAAGCACAGGAGUGCAUCCCUGCAGCGGGGAGAGGGCAGCGUUGACCAGGAGAAGCGGAAGUCAGCCCAGCUGGCCAGGGAGCUGGAGAGCCGGGAGGCAGAGCUGAACCGCCGUGACACCUUCUACAAGGAACAGCUGGGGCGCCUUGAGAAGAAGGAACAACUGUCAUGUGAUCCUGCCAAGCCUGCAGCUUUCUCAGUGACAGCACUAAACAGCCCCCUGCCUGGUGUCCCUGGGGGUGUCAGUCGGAGUCUGUUCAGGAAAAUAGGAGCUGCUCUAUGACGCAGAGGAAGAGGAGUUAAAUGUGGAGGAUUCUGCUUUACAAAGAGAAGGAGUGACAGAAGUCUAUAAUACUGAGUCAGCUCUUCUUGCUGCUUGCCUGGAUGCAACUAGUCAUAAAAAGCCACGGCCAUAUGAGCACUUCUGUGUACCUCCAUUUCCCAGCACAUGGAAACAUUGUGGGUUGCAAAGUGUUUUAGGCUGCAGCGUGUCUCUAUUGAGAGAUUGCAUAGAGGCUACCUAAGCCCUGUCAUCCCCUCUGGAUGAGAAACCAUGCUGGAACCGGUACAAGGCCACAGUGCUGCUUGCUCUUCCUGUGUCACCAGAACAAAACCUGGUGAUUGCUCAAGUGCAUUAAGUACAAGGGUAGGAAGAUGUGCCUUCAGAAGUGCCCCAGCCAAGCAGAAGCAGCCAUGUUACCCUGCCUGUUGUGUGCCAGACUGUCCUCUCUAGACCCUUUGAUGCCAUGUCCUGCACUUGUGAAGUGUUUGUCCUAGCAGCUCAUGGCUGCUCUGUCCUGUCCCUCUCAAGGCAGCCUGUGGAAUUAAGCUCUUUGGUUGACAUUACCACUUGCCACAGGUAUAGUGAGUAACUGCAGCUUUGUUCCUAUUCUCAGAUCGGUGAGAGUGCUCACAGUAAAGUUGAACCUGAAAGAAGCCUUAGGAAGAAAAGUGGGUCAUUGAUUCAGAAGGAAAACCUCACAGAGCCAAAGGGCACAGAGCUCAUGCAGGGUGGGUGCCAAGAGUACAGGAUGGGCCAUGCAGGGGUGCUGAGAACUGCCCAAGGCGACAUGUGGCAGCGCUUCCGUGUUUAGGGCUCACUAUCCCCUCGGGGCACAUGUCUUCACACACUGCCACCCUCCCCUGGGAGUAUGCAGCAAGGGGCCCCCUCACCCUCCACACUGGGAAAUGUGAGGUCUGCUGGACUCUGGAUUUUCCGAAUUUAGCCCAUUCCUAUGCUUCCUAAAUAGUUAAAAACUGUCCUCAUUAUGAGAGCCCCACUGCCCCAUUGUGAGAGCAUUCAUCCCUAAAGUUCUCCUUGCCUUUAGUGGCAGUCCCCAGAGUCCAGAUUUCUUACUGAUCCUGUCAAUCCCCUGCUCAAAGUAAUGAUCCCCACCUCUCCUUAGGGUCUGAACUCCACAGUCCCAGGCAUUGGGCCCUGGGCUGCCAUCUGCUCACAGUUCCCACAGCCCCACUCAUGCUCUCCCACCAGCAAAACUGGCCUGUGGGAGCUUUGGGCUAUACUCAGUGCUCCUUCUUGGGCCUUUUUGCAGCAUGCUUCCCCCACAUGUCCUGUACUUCAUCUGGUUGGUUCCUGUAUCCUCUUUAAGACAACUCAACCAUUUCCUGCUCCAGGAAGCCUCUCUGGAUACUCAUGGCAGAGCGCAGUGUUCCCUAGCCCCUCUGUUGGCCACUGCAGUCUGACAUUGGUCCAUUUCUUGCCCUAAUUUGAGCCCCUGGUUAGGAAGUGAUUCUUACACACCACAGCUCCAAUUAUCCAGAAUCUAGAGCAGAAGAAAAGGGGAGGAGUAGGGUACUGUGUGAAACAGUUCCUCCCACCCUAGUACUGGUUCUGAGGGAGCCUGAUGGCCUUUUCCCCACAGGGAGCCAGGCCUUUGGAGGGAAGGGUUUCCGGCCUUCUCAUAAUUGCAACUCAGACCCUUCACUAAACACCUGUGGACAUAUUAGGGGACAGUGUAGGCACAUGGCUCAGACUAUAUCUAAAAGCCACAUCAGACCCUUCCCUCAGACAUCGAGAGCGCCAGUGAUGACACAGGAAAAGCAUUCCAGUUUUUAUAGUAUUUAAAGGCCUCCAGGGCUUGCGGUGAAGGCUCUUGAUGGCAUCAUGCUUUAUGCAGUUUUAAAUAAGCCAGAAUCAGUUUUGAAGUGUUUCAGUGUUAGCAGAAGCCUAUGAUCCCAGAUUUUAAACUCAGGCACAGGGCAGCCAGGUUAUUUACCCAUGUUAAACGGCUUGUGAAAGGGCUUCUCAAAAACAGUGUUCCAUAUUUUAUUUGAAAUGCCUUGGGAUAUAAAGAAUUCAUGCACCAUAUAACCAUAAAAAUAUCACAAUGUAAACCUGUAGGAUCCUGUGCUUUCUGCUAUUCUCCCAGGAGGAAUAUUGGUCAUUUCGUCAUUGUCUCCUGUUAAAAUGGUCAGACUCAGCAAAUAUUUUGGAUAUGUAGUAGCUUCUGAGGAGAACACCAGUGAGGGAUAGAGUAAUAGAAUGUAUAGAAUCUUCUAAUUCGCUCCUGAUUGUUAGUUAUUAGCUGGUGACUUUGCCUAACCCAGAAUGAUGGUACUUGCAGGAUACCUACCCUGUGCCAGUCACUGUUUGGGCACUUUUAAGUAGUAGCUUGUGCAUCUUGCUCCUUUGUGGAUACUCAGUAAAUGUUUGUUGUGUGCCUGUUGAGCAAAUGAAAGAGAGCUCCCAGCCACCUUUGAGGGAAACCUGCUUUCUAAUCAAGUUUCCACCAACUCCAGUGUCCAGAAGCACACAUGACAGGCAUCGUGAGAGGGAGGUGCUUGGAAAGGGCCUGGGGGGUUCAAAUGAUACAAAAGCCGCAGCAAAGGUAUCUGGGAGUAGAGUUAAUGUGAAGGCUUCUGAGUCUAGUGAGAAGAAACAGCUAAAUUGCCAAGACUCCGGGGAUGUUUGCCCAUACAUGGGAACUGUAUAUGAGGUAACAGAUUAGUCUGCCAGAACUGUGACAGUGUUGUGUUGUCAUUUUUGGUAUUUGUAUUUUGUGACAUUUAAAGAAGUAUGGUGAAAUAUAAUUGUUAACAUUU